CUUCACCUGGCAGGCCAGUAUUGUGGCAUGCAGGUUACAUAGCUAGGUGAGAUCGCCGAUAACUUUCAUCCUUCCAGCAGCUGGCAUAGCAUACCCUAUAAGCUAGCUGCAAGGAAGUUCCCAGCUUAGUCAACUUGUUUUCUCUUUGUCUUGAAACUAAGUGUGUGGUUCUUUGGCAAUAGUGUCACCAUGCACUGAGUGUCACCGUGCUCUGUCACCAUGCACUGAGUGCCACCAUGCACUGUCACCAUGCUCUGAGUGUCACCAUGCACUGUCACCAUGCACUGAGUGACACCAUGCACUGUUGGUCCUCUGGGGGGCACCUAUAGGCUGUAAGACUCAGGGGACACCACAGAAAAGGAAGUGGAAAGAACUGCAGGGUAGAGAGGAGAACUGUGGAAUUCUGUGUCCUGGAUGUACCAUAGCUGUUGCACUCAUUAAAACUGUGGUCACUUGCACAAAGCCUGCAUAAGACCGAGCCCAUCAACAUUCUGUCAUGGCUGGGAAAGGAGCUCUGGAGGUCCCACCCCUCCUCAAGGAUUCAUUGGUGGUUAGUGCCUACCGGUGGAAGAGGACUCAUCUUCCUCAUAGGUGCAGCCACUGGGUAGUUGUCCAUGUGUCAGUAAUUAACACUGUUUCCAAGCUCAUUCAAUCAAUGUUAAUUAAACUCAUGGGUCAUAGAAAGUUGGGAAGAGGAAAAUAAAAGGUGCUGAAGUAAGAGGGGAGCCUGCUGGGAAGAAGGUAUUUCAUGGGAGUGAAAGGGGGACAUAAAAGAAGGGAAUAGGGGGUGCAUAUGUUCAAUAUCCCUUAUGCACAUGAAUGAAAUAACCAAAGGGUAAGCUAAAUAGGAAAAUAGGAAAGGGAAAUUCAUCAUAAGUAUAUUUAUAAGCUAUUUGUUAAAAUAGGUUAUGGGGAUAGUAUUUUUUCAUACAUUGCCUUAUUAUAUAAAGCCAAAUCACCACUCAUUCACUUAUUAUCUGGCAAUCUCAUUGCUGUUGUUAGAUCAUAAUUUAAAGACCAGGGGCCAGGCCCCAUUUCAAGUCAAUGCUGCUGGGUCCAGGCCAGGCUGAUCUCUGCUGGUUGAAUCUUUGGACUCUUAUCAUUUGUUCUGAGAAAUGCAAGUGGGAUUCUGGCACCAAAUGGCAAAGGAGAAGCUUGUGAAGGACUAUGAGCUCCUAGUCCUGAUGGAGAUGGCACAGAUUCAGGUUCACAAAACCUCUUGCACUUCUUGGUAUCUGCUAGGGCUCCACAGAGAAGUGUUUGGUCCUGCUCUACCAGGAAUGGUGGUGACAAGCAUUUGCCCUCAGUCACUGUUCACAGGUCUAUGGUCACAUCUUCCAUUCCACCAUCCCCCCAUGAAUGUGCCAUCCUCUCCACUGGAUGUAGUGAGGAGAAGAAUGAUGGUUUUGCUUUGCCGGAAAGGAGAAAAGCAAGUACUCUUGGCUGGUGCUCAGUACUACAGAAGGCAAAGACCCCCAGAUGAUGCUGGGACAAUGGAACACCAGUUCUGACCAGAAGAGGAGAGUCAGAAUGAAAUGGGGUUUUCCUUUGAAAUUCUCUGCCUAGGGUGUUUUACAUUGGAAACGGAGUUAGCUGAAUCCCCUGUGUCCCGGGGCCAACAACUGGAACUAGAACUGGAAAUUUUGUGACAGAUCCCACGAUGCUGAUGCCUGAAACCUCUGUGCAAUAUUCCUGUUUCCCACAGAAGUGCAGUUCACCCCACGGAGUCAUGAGAUGAGACUUGCAGAGUGAAUUUGGACGGGGUCUGUCGGAGCGUGCAUGUCUUCUCAUCAGACCACUUGUCUUUAAAACAUUCUAGGUUCAUUUGCUGGUGUGGCAGCAAGAAUUAAAAUGGAAGAAGCGUGGGUCAUCUUUCCUCUAGCAACUCGUGAGCAGACACCACAAUCCGGCCUUGGUGUUGGCUAAUAAAUAACAAACACUGUGUCUAAUGUCCUUCUGCCUGCCUGUCACCCUCCUGGCUUUAAUUUGGUCAUUUCUUUUCUCUAUUAGCAGACAGGUCUAUGGUUCUUAACCAAGUCAACCAAGGUGGACAAAGGGGUGAGAGACUAAAACCUUUGCUGGGGUUGGUGCUAAGUUCCCAUGAUCCUUAGAUAAAUUCUUACCCUACAGUUGAAUUUGAGUGGCAGGUAAUGACUGACUGAUGGGUGGGGCUUAGCAUUAAGAGGCAGCUGCAUUUCUCUUUUGUCUCAAGUCCCAUCACACCAGAGUAGCAUUCCAAUUCCAGAAGCCCCCAGAGGCCAC
ensembl:lncRNA